rnacentral:rRNA from 2 species
UUCCCCUAGUAACUGCGAGUGAAGAGGGAAGAGCUCAAAUUUGGAAUCUGAUGGCGUGACGGCCGUCCGAGUUGUCAUCUAGAGAAGUGUUCUUCUGCGCUGGGCCGUGUACAAGUCUCCUGGAAGGGAGCAUCACAGAGGGUGACAAUCCCGUCUUUGACACGGAGAAGCCAGGGCUUAUGUGAAGGCGCUCUCAACGAGUCGAGUUGUUUGGGAAUGCAGCUCUAAACGGGUGGUAAAUUCCAUCUAAAGCUAAACAUGGGCGAGAGACCGAUAGCGAACAAGUACCGUGAGGGAAAGAUGAAAAGAACUUUGGAAAGAGAGUUAAACAGUAUGUGAAAUUGCUGAAAGGGAAACGCUCGACGUCAGUCGCGUUGGCUUAGGGAUCAACCUUGCAAGUCGCAAGACUUUGCUGGGUGUACUUCCUGGCUGACGGGUCAACGUCAGUCUCGUUCGCUGUAAAAGGGCUGGAGAAAGGUAGCACUCCUAGGAGUGUGUUAUAGUCUUUGGUCGAAUGCAAUGAAAGGGACUGAGGAACUCUGCACAGACCAGGGAGGACUU